rnacentral:rRNA from 1 species
GACGAACGCUGGCGGCGUGCUUAACACAUGCAAGUCGAACGCUGAAGCACCAGCUUGCUGGUGUGGAUGAGUGGCGAACGGGUGAGUAAUACGUGAGUAACCUGCCUUUGACUCUGGGAUAAGCCCGGGAAACUGGGUCUAAUACUGGAUGCUACAUGUCACCGCAUGGUGGUGUGUGGAAAGGGUUUACUGGUCUUGGAUGGGCUCACGGCCUAUCAGCUUGUUGGUGAGGUAAUGGCUCACCAAGGCGACGACGGGUAGCCGGCCUGAGAGGGUGACCGGCCACACUGGGACUGGGACACGGCCCAGACUCCUACGGGAGGCAGCAGUGGGGAAUAUUGCACAAUGGGCGAAAGCCUGAUGCAGCGACGCCGCGUGAGGGAUGACGGCCUUCGGGUUGUAAACCUCUUUCAGCAGGGAAGAAGCCACAAGUGACGGUACCUGCAGAAGAAGCGCCGGCUAACUACGUGCCAGCAGCCGCGGUAA